rnacentral:rRNA from 1 species
GUGCCAGCAGCCGCGGUAAUACAGAGGGUGCGAGCGUUAAUCGGAAUUACUGGGCGUAAAGCGCACGUAGGUGGUUUUGUAAGUCGGAUGUGAAAUCCCCGGGCUUAACCCGGGAACUGCAUUCGAGACUGCAUUACUCGAGUAUGGGAGAGGGAAGCGGAAUUUCCGGUGUAGCGGUGAAAUGCGUAGAUAUCGGAAGGAACAUCAGUGGCGAAGGCGGCUUCCUGGCCCAAUACUGACACUCAUGUGCGAAAGCGUGGGGAGCAAACAGGAUUAGAUACCCUCGUAGUCC